GAUCAAGCAUGGGCAUUGGGAAAGUGUUUCUACUACAUGCAUACAUUUCACUGAUAAUCUCCAACAUUUGAAGGUAGUUCAAACUGAAAUUUUAAUGCCAUCAAACUUUAGCUUAUCAGGUAGCAUAAUUGACCCAUAGAGGGAAGUAGUAUCACAAGAACUAUUCUACAAUCAAUAUGGUAUAUUCAACAGCGAAAAUAGCAUACAGUUCACUGGCAAGGAAGAGAUCUCAUUAAAACUUAAUAAAAAGCAUAGGACAUAUAGCAGCCAAAACAAUUGCAUAGAUAAUAUCUCAGAUCAUUUAGUUUUAAUAUGUAGAGGCAUCUCAACGAGAAACUCCAAUGACAUGCGUUCACCAUGGCUUUCCUCAAACAUUUUAACUUACUGAUUUAGGAACAAAUGGUAUGAUGUCAUUUCUGCAGGGGAUAGGCGCUUCUCUCAAUG
rnacentral:misc_RNA from 1 species